rnacentral:sRNA from 1 species
AGAAGACCUCCGGUAGAUCAGGGCUGGAGCAAAACGCAGGUUGUAAAAAAGCGGGAUGACGUGUGAAGGUCAUCCCGC